UUUUAAAUGUUAAUUUAAUUAUUUUGAUUGAAUAUUUUUAAUGAAUAGAGUAAUAAAUUAGUUAUUAAGUUUUAGUAAUAAUUUUGAAUUAAUUUUUUAUAUUAUAAUAUUUGUAAAGAAAUUGAUGAUAAAAAAAAAUUUAUAAGUAAAUUUAAAAAAUUGUACCUUUUGUAUCAGGAAUUAUUAAUAAAUUUAUUUAAAUAGAAUAUAUCUCGAAUUUUAAAGAUCUAAGUUAUAAUGUUAGUUAUUGUGGAAUAAUUAUUAAUAAUUUUAAUUUAGUAGUGAAAUGUUUUCGAUUUAAAAGAUAUCUAGUUUUUUUAGAAUUGAAUUAAAUUCAGUAUUUAAUAUAUUAUUUUUGUAUAUUUUGUUUAAUAUAAAUUUAUAUUUAAAUAUAAUUAUUUUUGGGAUUAACUUGAAAUAAUUUUAAUAAUUUGUAAUUAUUAUAGUUUAUAAAUAUUUAUAGAAAUAGAAAUUUUUAAAAAGUAUUUUAUAAUUUAUAAAUUAGUAUAAAAUAAUUUAAAUUAAAAUUUUAAAUUUAUAUAUAAAAAAUAUUAUAAUUAUUAUUUAUAAAGUUAUAAUGAUAAUAUUAGUAAAAUUUAAUGUUAGAGAAGUUUUAUUUAUUAUAGUUAAUAUUAAAUAAUUCGACAAAAAUGUUAUUCACCUGUUUAACAAAAACAUGGUUUAUAGAUUUUAAUUAUAAAUCGGUUUCUGCCCAAUGAAUUUUUAAAUGGCUGCGGUAUACUGACCGUACAAAGGUAGCAAAAUCAAUAGUUUUUUAAUUGAAAACUGGAAUGAAAGAUCUGAUGAAAUAACAAUUGUUUCAAUGUUAUAAGUUGAAAUUAAAUUUUGAGUUAAAAUGCUUAAAUUUAUUUAUUAGACGAGAAGACCCUAUAGAAUUUUAUAAAAUUUAUUUAUAGGAAUUUUUAUAUAAAAUAAAUUUUUAUAGAUAUUUAUAUUUAGUUGGGAGGAUUAUAAAAUUUAAUUAACUUUUAUUAGUAAGUUACAUAGAUUAAUGAAAAUUUUGAUUAUUAUUAUAAUUAUAAGAAAAAAUUACCUUAGGGAUAACAGCGUAAUAUUUUUGGAGAGAUCAAAUUGAUAAAAAUGUUUGCGACCUCGAUGUUGAAUUAUGAUAUAAUUUAGGUGUAGAAGUUUAAAUUGUUAGUCUGUUCGACUAUUAAAAUCAUACAUGAUUUGAGUUCAGAUCGGUGUAAGCCAGAUCGGUUUCUAUCUUUAAAUAAAGAAAAUUUUUUUGUACGAAAGGACUAAAAAUUUAAAAUAAUUUUUUGUAAAAUAUGAAUUAAAUUAAUUUAUUAUAUUUUAAAUUAUAAUUUUAUUAUAAUUAUUUAAUAUAUAAUUAGAUAUUGAU
rnacentral:rRNA from 1 species